rnacentral:lncRNA from 1 species
AACAGACUUUCAGUCUGCUUUCUGCCAACCUUUGGAAGUAUUUGGAGUAGAUUCACUAAUUUUAAAGACAACCAAAUUAUUUUUUCUUCCAUCCCUUUCAGCCAUCCCCUCUGUGGCGCGAUUUGAACGAUCUUCAUCCUGCUUCGAGAAUGUUCAUGAAAGCUCACCUCCAGUGAGGGAUAUGUUAUGAUAUUCAGACUUGGCAUGCUGUGCUUGGUUUACCAAGUGUACUUUUGUUACAUUCAGCAUAUAUUCACCCCAAUCUUUUCUCUCAAGACCCUUUGAAACCCAUUUCACCUUUUGCAGCACUGAGACCUCCAAGACCCUUUCGAUCCACUUCAUCACUUUCGAACCCUGAAAACCGUCAAAGGUGAAAUGGACAACUUCUUGGAAUGGCUCCAAUCACAAGGUCUGAGAGCAGAAACAGCCCAAGCAGUGAUCAAUGUGCUUGGAAUUGAGAAUCAGAAGGUUUUUCGAGCUUGUGCAGAUUCCGAUUCAUUACGAACAGAGCUCCUCUCCCUCACCAAAGAGAAAUUUAAAUUUGCAAUGUACGCUGACUUCUGCAAAUUUAUGAAAUCUUUUUUGAAGCCGCAGGUUGUCAAGCUUGCAGGAUCUUCUCUGUUGGGAAGUGUGUUCGUCAACUUAGACAAUGUUGUUCGAGAACUUUCCAGCUUCUGCCAAAAGUUUGUCAGAUUCCAAAACGUGCAGCUUGAAAAUGUUCCUGAUUUCCAUGGAUUCGGUUUCAGUGAUGUCUGCGAACUCCACUGUCAGGAUGAUGGAUUAACACCCAAGUCUGCCUUCACGUCAUCUGUAGAAACUCGCACAGAGUGGAUUGACUUGAGAUGUCCUGCGCCGUAUAAAGUACGUACAAAUGCAUUGUGCACAUGUUUGCUAUCUCACUGAUCGUCUUAAUUCCUGUGAUUGUUUCGCGGAAAAGAAAUUCUGGGGGGGGGGGGGGGGGGGGG